rnacentral:lncRNA from 1 species
CCCUUAGAGAAAAAGGAAAAAGCUUCCAACGUAAAGUCUUAUCAGAAAUGCCUUCAAUGCGAAGACAAUCACAUGUUUGCUCAAAAUCUCUAAUAUGAAGGUAAGGGUUUUCGUCUUCCUUUCCCGAAAAAGAUAGGUUUUGAAUCAUGGCAAUCAACCUAGAACUUAACUUAUACUGGGGUGUUUGGAUAGGCUGUGAUGAUUCCCAUGGUAAAAGGUCAGUUGCUAAAGGGAUUGCAGACUCAUGGAUCGAUUUAGAAUUUUGGUUUUCCAUAAGGUAAGAAUAAAGAAAAUAAAUAAAGAAUAUAAAAGAUAAAAAAGAUAAAAGUAUAGAUACAAGCUAGUAGCAAGACACAGGUUAUCUCAGCAACCGUCUUUCUCUCCGGCAACGGCGCAAGAAAUGCUUGUUGAUAUUUGGGAACGCAAUAAGGAAUUGAUCCGCAAGCGCACGGAUAUCGGUGAGCACUUCACCCGGGAAAUUAUCCAGAGUAUCGUAUUUAUUUUUUUACCACUAGGAGAAAGAGUGCAUCUGACUAACCGGUCUAUUACUACUAACCUUUAGGCACAAAGAAUGUCUUUCGAUGUGAGUGAUAAAUAGAGAAGACUGCAACCGUAGUCUCCUUCUAACCUUGGUAAGGAUGAUCUACUGUUCUAAUGGGGAGGCUAACGGAAUCUAGACACCACAAAGGAUGUUCGACCCGCACCUAUAAAUCCUAUCCUUCCUGCUAACGAGAUGUGAUCUACAAAGGUAGCUCAGAAUUGUCACGUUCCUCACUACUACAACGGUCCAGCUAGUCAGGGAAUAUCUAUGAGUACCCCAGCCUAAACACCACGUUUACGCCAGC